rnacentral:lncRNA from 1 species
GAUCUUCUUCGAUUUCGGUCAACCUCCUGUGCGAUAAAUUCUUCCGAGCAAUCAUCCCAGGUUGAACGGACUGCAUGGUGCCAGGCGCGGAUCUUGGCGGCGUUCGGUCGGUCGGUCGGGGUGGACCGAUCGGAAUGGGGGAUCAGAGCUCUGGAUCGGUCCCGGAAGAGUUUAUCGAGUUUUCUGCUGGAGCAGAGCUCGAAUCGGGCGAUCGAAGCCGGAUCGGAAUCGAGAACCGUUCUUCCGACUACGGAGACGGAGAUCGCCAUCGAUCUUGGCGGCGUUCGGUCGGUCGAGACCGAUAGAUCGGAGCGGAGGAUUCGAGGUCCGGAUCGAUCCCGGAGGUUUUGUCGAGCAUCUUGCCGGAGCAGAGCUCGAAUCGGGCGAUCGAGGUCCGAUCAGAGUCGUGAACAGUUAGUUCAUCCGACUACGAAGAUGAAUCUCUGAAACCAGAUCGAUCGAUGUGAAAGAGGGGAGAUUCCUGUUGUCUCCUUCUUCUUCCCUCGGUCGUUUCUCUGAAUCUCCUUCUUCUGUCCGCAGGAAAGGCGGAGCUCCAGAGGAGCAUCUCCAAUGUCAGGGAGACCUUGAGCGAUCAUCUCGGCGAUGUCGUGGAGGUCUGCGCAGAGGUCGGUUCCUCAUUACUCGAUGUAGGCUGGGCGGGAUCGCCCUCGUCCUUGGGAUCCCUCUUUUAGGGUUUUUCUUCACCAUCUUCCUCCUCUCCGCCAUUCUUGGAUCUCCAAGGACGGCGCGGGCGCCUUCUUCCACAACCUGCUGCAGAUGUGCCAUUCGAGAUUCUAACCCCAAUACAGGAGACAGAAAAAAAGUUUCAGUCCGAGCGAUCGCAGCAACCACUGCGAGAACCGAGCACGGAAUCAGAGAUGACAG